rnacentral:rRNA from 1 species
UACAGAGGUCCCAAGCGUUGUUCGGAAUUACUGGGCGUAAAGGGCGCGUAGGCGGCCGAUCAAGUCAGGCGUGAAAUUCCCGGGCUCAACCUGGGGGCUGCGCUUGAUACUGUUUGGCUUGAAUGCGGGAGAGGAUAGUGGAAUUCCCAGUGUAGAGGUGAAAUUCGUAGAUAUUGGGAAGAACACCGGUGGCGAAGGCGGCUAUCUGGCCCGUAAUUGACGCUGAGGCGCGAAAGCGUGGGGAGCAAACAGG